rnacentral:rRNA from 1 species
AACGAACGCUGGCGGCGUGGAUUAGGCAUGCAAGUCGAACGGGAUCUAUUGAAAUUGACGCUUCGGUUGACGUUUCAAUAGUGAGAGUGGCGAACGGGUGAGUAACGCGUGGGCAAUUUGCCCUUAAGUUCGGGAUAGCGUCGGGAAACCGGCAUUAAUACCGGAUGUGGUCGAACUCCGCAUGGAGUUCUCUCUAAAGGUGGGGAUCUUCGGACCUACUGCUUAAGGAUGAGCCCGCGUCCCAUCAGCUUGUUGGUAGGGUAAUGGCCUACCAAGGCAACGACGGGUAGCUGGUCUGAGAGGAUGGUCAGCCACACUGGGACUGAGACACUGCCCAG